rnacentral:piRNA from 1 species
UAGUGGUGUCUGCUAGGUGCUGUCAUGA